rnacentral:misc_RNA from 1 species
UACGUAGGGUCCAAGCGUUAUCCGGAAUCAUUGGGCGUAAAGAGCUCGUAGGCGGUUCAGCAAGUCGGCUGUGAAAGUCCGAGGCUCAACCUCGGAAUUGCAGUCGAUACUGCUGUGACUCGAGUCCGGUAGAGGAGAAUGGAAUUAUCGGUGUAGCGGUGAAAUGCGCAGAUAUCGAGAUGAACACCAGUAGCGAAGGCGGUUCUCUGGGCCGGCACUGACGCUGAGGCACGAAAGAGUGGGUAGCGAACUGG